UGCCACGGCCAUGUCAUCCUGCAUCCCUAGACCGGUUACUCACUGAAGUUAAGCAGGGCUGAGCCUGGUCAGUACCUGGAUGGGAGACCACAAGGGAACACUAGGUUGCUGUUGGAA
rnacentral:rRNA from 1 species